GGAGGGGCCUGCAGCCUAUCAGCUUGUUGGUAAGGUAAUGGCUUACCAUGGCUAUGACGGGUAGAUGGUCUGAGAGGAUGAUCAUUCACGAUGGAACUGAGACACGGUCCAUACUCCUACGGGAGGCAGCAGUAGGGAAUCUUCCGCAAUGGGCGAAAGCCUGAUGGUAGCAACACCGCGUGGUUGAUGACGCCCCUUGGGGUGUAAAGACCUUUUCUGAGGGAAGAAUUAUGACGGUACCUUACUGAAUAAGCACCGGCUAAUUACGUGCCAGCAGCCGCGGUAAUACGUAAGGUGCAAGCGUUAUCCGGAAUCAUUGGGCGUAAAGCGUCUGCAAGUUGUUUAUUAAGUCAGACAUUAAAUACGGCAGCUCAACUGUCGGGCCGUGCCUGAAACUGGUAAGCUAGAGUCAUACAGAGGUACGUGGAAUUCUGCAUGUAGGGGUAAAAUCCGUUGAUAUGCAGAGGAACACCAAAAGCGAAAGCAGCGUACUGGGUAUGUACUGACACUCAGAGACGAAAGCAUGGGUAGCGAACGGGAUUAGAUACCCCGGUAGUCCAUGCCGUAAACGAUGAUCACUCGAUGUUAGACUUUUCAAUCGGUCUAGUGUGCAAGCUAACGCGAUAAGUGAUCCGCCUGGGGAGUACGGUCGCAUGAUUAAAACUCAAAGGAAUAGACGGGGACCUACACAAGCAGUGGAGCAUCUGGUUUAAUUCGAUAAUAAGCGAGGAACCUCACCUAGGCUGGACAUUCCGAUGAACGCUCUUGAAAUAGAGAACUGCCUUUUGGAACAUCGGUGACAGGUGCUGCAUGGUUGUCGUCAGCUCGUGCCUUGAGGUGUUCGGUUAAGUCCGUGAACGAGCGCAACCCACGUCGCAUGUUGUAUUUUUCAUGCGAGACCGCCGGUUACAAAUCGGAGGAAGGUGUGGAUGACGUCAAAUCAGCAUGGCCCUUAUGCCUAGGGCUACACAGGUGCUACAAUGGCCAGUACAACGGGCAGCGAAGCAGCAAUGCCAAGCCAAUCCCUGAAAACUGGUCC
rnacentral:rRNA from 1 species